rnacentral:misc_RNA from 1 species
GCUUAUUGCGCGGCGAAAAAACCUUACACACAGUGUUUUUUGUUAUUACAAGAACUUUUGCUUUGGUCUGGACUAGAAAUAGUUUGGGCCAGAGGUUUACUGAACUAAACUUCAAUAUUUAUAUUGAAUUGUUAUUUAUUUAAUUGUCAAUUUGUUGAUUAAAUUCAAAAAAUCUUCAAAACUUUCAACAACGGAUCUCUUGGUUCUCGCAUCGAUGAAGAACGCAGCCAGGAUCAUUACAGUAUUCUUUUUGCCGCGCUUAAUUGCGCGGCGAAAAAACCUUACACACAGUGUUUUUUGUUAUUAC